rnacentral:rRNA from 1 species
GUGGGGAAUAUUGCGCAAUGGGCGAAAGCCUGACGCAGCGACGCCGCGUGAGGGAUGAAGGUUUUCGGAUCGUAAACCUCUGUCAGAAGGGAAGAAACUACAUUGUGCUAAUCAGCAGUGUACUGACGGUACCUUCAAAGGAAGCACCGGCUAACUCCGUGCCAGCAGCCGCGGUAAUACGGAGGGUGCAAGCGUUAAUCGGACUUACUGGGCGUAAAGCGCACGUAGGCUGUAGUGUAAGUCAGGGGUGAAAUCCCACGGCUCAACCGUGGAGCUGCCUUUGAUACUGCACAACUUGAAUCCGGGAGAGGGUGGCGGAAUUCCAGGUGUAGGAGUGAAAUCCGUAGAUAUCUGGAGGAACAUCAGUGGCGAAGGCGGCCACCUGGACCGGUAUUGACGCUGAGGUGCGAAAGCGUGGGGAGCAAAUAGGAUUAGAUACCCCGGUAGUCC